rfam:Metagenome sequence AHAA15566.x1, whole genome shotgun sequence.
CGGUGGGCCACAUCUCCCCAACGAGAUGCGACCUUUCUGUGAGGAAAGGAGAC